ACCCGCUGAACUUAAGCAUAUCAAUAAGCGGAGAAAAGAAACUAACAAGGAUUCCCCUAGUAACUGCGAGUGAAGCGGGAAAAGCUCAAAUUUAAAAUCUGGUGGUCUUUGGCCGUCCGAGUUGUAAUUUAGAGAAGCGUCUUCCGCGCCGGGACCGUGCACAAGUCUCCUGGAAUGGAGCCUCAUAGAGGGUGAGAAUCCCGUCUUUGGCAUGGAUCCCCCCGGUGCUUCUGUGAUGCGCUCUCAAAGAGUCGAGUUGUUUGGGAAUGCAGCUCAAAAUGGGUGGUGAACUCCAUCUAAAGCUAAAUAUUGGCGAGAGACCGAUAGCGAACAAGUACCGUGAGGGAAAGAUGAAAAGCACUUUGGAAAGAGAGUGAAACAGUACGUGAAAUUGUUGAAAGGGAAACGCUUAAAGUCAGUCGCGUCUGUCGAGACUCAGCCUUGCCUUGGCUUGGUGUACUUCUUGACUGACGGGCCAGCAUCAAUUUUGUCCCUCGGAUAAUGGCAAGGGAAAGGUGGCACUCCUUGUGGGUGUGUUAUAGUCUCCUGUCGCAUGUGAGGGGUGGGAUUGAGGAACUCAGCACGCACCUUUUGGGUGUCGGGGCUUCGGCCCACGUUACGUGCUUASGAUGUUGGCGUAAUGGCUUUAAACGACCCGUCUUGAAAC
rnacentral:rRNA from 1 species